rnacentral:rRNA from 1 species
AUCAUGGCUCAGGAUGAACGCUAGCUACAGGCUUAACACAUGCAAGUCGAGGGGAAACGACAUCGAAAGCUUGCUUUUGAUGGGCGUCGACCGGCGCACGGGUGAGUAACGCGUAUCCAACCUGCCCACCACUUGGGGAGUAACCUUGCGAAAGUAAGACUAAUACCCAAUGAUAUCUCUAGAAGACAUCUGAAAGAGAUUAAAGAUUCAUCGGUGAUGGAUGGGGAUGCGU